rnacentral:piRNA from 1 species
CGCGGCUCUCUGGUUUUGUGUGGG